rnacentral:rRNA from 1 species
UACGUAGGGGGCAAGCGUUGUCCGGAUUUAUUGGGCGUAAAGAGCGUGUAGGCGGCCAGACAGGUCCGUUGUGAAAACUCGAGGCUCAACCUCGAGAUGUCGAUGGAAACCGUCUGGCUAGAGUCCGGAAGAGGAGUGUGGAAUUCCUGGUGUAGCGGUGAAAUGCGCAGAUAUCAGGAAGAACACCUAGGGCGAAGGCAGCACUCUGGGACGGUACUGACGCUGACGCGAAAGCGUGGGGAGCGAACAGG